rnacentral:rRNA from 1 species
AGUGAACGCUGGCGGUAGGCCUAACACAUGCAAGUCGAACGGCAGCACAGUAAGAGCUUGCUCUUACGGGUGGCGAGUGGCGGACGGGUGAGGAAUACAUCGGAAUCUACUUUUUCGUGGGGGAUAACGUAGGGAAACUUACGCUAAUACCGCAUACGACCUACGGGUGAAAGCAGGGGAUCUUCGGGCCUUGCGCGAUUGAAUGAGCCGAUGUCGGAUUAGCUAGUUGGCGGGGUAAAGGCCCACCAAGGCGACGAUCCGUAGCUGGUCUGAGAGGAUGAUCAGCCACACGGGAACUGAGACACGGUCCAGACUCCUACGGGAGGCAGCAGUGGGGAAUAUUGGACAAAGGGCGCAAGCCUGAUCCAGCCAUACCGCGUGGGUGAAGAAGGCCUUCGGGUUGUAAAGCCCUUUUGUUGGGAAAGAAAAGCAGCAGGUUAAUACCCCGCUGUUCUGACGGUACCCAAAGAAUAAGCACCGGCUAACUUCGUG